rnacentral:rRNA from 1 species
UAAGACCCGAAGCCCAGCGAUCUAUGCGUGGGCAGGUUGAAGCGUGCCGAAAGGCGCGUGGAGGACCGCAAGCGGUUUUGAUAUGCAAAUCAUUCGUGUGACCUGCGUAUAGGAGUGAAAGAUUAAUCGAGCUGGGCAUCCGCUGGUUCCUCUCGAAACAUGCCGUAGCAUGACCUGGCUGGAGAUAGACGGUGAGGUAGAGCACUGAUUGGGGGAGCUGGGGGAGAAAUCCCUCACCCUCCUGUCAAACUCCAAAUUCCCCGUCGUCGAAGAAGGCUGGCAGUCCGGACUACGGGGUAAGCUUGUAGUCCGUAAGGGAGACAACCCAGACCGUGGUUAAUGUCCCUCAAUGUAGGCUAAGUGUCAACACUGAAAGGCGUCCCAGGCCAAAGACAACUGGAAGGUGAGCUCAGAAGCAGCUAUCCUUUAAAAAGUGCGUAACAGCUUACCAGUCGAGGUUUGGGGCACUGAAAAUGGACGGGGCUAAAGCCUACUACAGAUACCACGGACCACACUUUCGUGUGAUGGCGUAGAGAGGCGUGCUGCCUGGGCAGAAGCAGGGGCGUAAGCUCCUGUGGACCGGGUAGCAAUGAGAAUUCUGGCAUUAGUAGAAGCAAAGUUGGGUGAGAAUCCCAACCGCCGGAGGGGCUAGGUUUCCUCGGCAAUGUUCGUCAGCCGAGGGUUAGUCGGUCCUAAGAUGUGUCGUAAUUCGAGCACGUCAAAAGGGAAACAGGUUAAUAUUCCUGUACCAUUCAUCCGUAGCGUUAAUUCGCCCUGACGCUUCGGGAUAUGCCGGGCAGGGCUGUCGCCCUGUCCAAGCGUCCAAGCUCGUGGAGUACCGCCAUGGUGAGAAGCGAGUGAAAGCGUGAUGGGGUAACUCGGCAAAUUCCUGGAGCCCGUGAAAAGGGGGAUGAAUGUCCGUACCGAGAUCUGACACAGGUGCCCCUAGCUGAAAAGGCUAAGGCGUGUCGGUUUAAUCGUGUUAAGGGAACUCGGCAAAUUAGCCCCGUAACUUUGGGAGAAGGGGUGCCUGCCUGGCGAUCAGGCAGGUCGCAGUGACCAGGGGGCUCUGACUGUCUAAUAACAACAUAGGUGACUGCAACUCGGAAACGACUAGUAUAGUCACUGAUUCCUGCCCAGUGCGAGUAUCUGAACACCGGGUUCAACCGGACGAAGGACUCGUAAACGGCGGGGGUAACUAUGACCCUCUUAAGGUAGCGUAGUACCUUGUCGCUUAAUUGGCGACUUGCAUGAAUGGAUUAACGAGAGCCCUACUGUCCCUAACACGAAGCCGUUGAACAUUUUAUCCUAGUGCAGAGACUAGGGACUCCAGAUGGGAAGUGAAGACCCCGUGGAGCUUUACUGCAGCCUGUCGCUGUGUUACGGUAUUCCUUGCGCAGCGUAGAUGGGAGGCGUCGAUCCACCCCUUCCGGGGGGUGGGGAGCCAACAAUGAGACACCAUCCUUGGUUUACUGUAACACUAACUCAAACCUGAGGACAACGAUAGGUAGGCAGUUUGGGUGGGGCGCCACACCCUCGAAAAAAUAUCAAGGGUGCCCUAUGGUCAACUCAUGUGAGUCAGAAACUCACAGGAGAGUGUCAAGAGCAUAAGUUGGCCUGACGCGAUUUCGCAUAGCAAGAAAUCGCGAGAGGAAACUCGGGUCUAACGAACCAAUGAGCCUUAUUGAUGAGGGCCAUUGACGACAGAAAAGCUACCCCGGGGAUAACAGAGUCGUCGCCGGCAAGAGCACAUAUCGACCCGGCGGCUUGCUACCUCGAUGUCGGUUCUUUCCAUCCUGGCCGUGCAGCAGCGGCCAAGGGUGAGGUUGUUCGCCUAUUAAAGGGGAUCGUGAGCUGGGUUUAGACCGUCGUGAGACAGGUCGGUUACUAUCUAUCUGGAGUGUAAGGAGUCUGAAGGUAAGAUGGAAAUAGUACGAGAGGAACUUUCCGUCGUCGCCUCUGGUCGAUCGGUUGUCCGACAGGGCAGUGCCGAGCAGCUACGCGAUAAGGGAUAAAAGCUGAAAGCAUCUAAGCUUGAAACCUGACCUAAAAAGAGACUCCGUUGAGGACACGGGUAAAAGACCCGCUUGAUAGGUCCGGGAUGUAAGCACGAAGGCAACGACGUGUUCAGUCCGCGGAUACUAACGUCCGAUGCCUUCCGC